GACGAACGCUGGCGGCGUGCUUAACACAUGCAAGUCGAACGGAAAGGCCCUGCUUUUGUGGGGUGCUCGAGUGGCGAACGGAUGAGUAACACGUGAGUAACCUGCCCUCGACUUUGGGAUAACUUCAGGAAACUGGGGCUAAUACCGGAUAGGAGCUCCUGCUGCAUGGUGGGGGUUGGAAAGUUUCGGCGGUUGGGGAUGGACUCGCGGGUUAUCAGCUUGUUGGUUGGGUAGGGGCUUACCAAGUCUUUGACGGGUAGCCGGCCUGAGAGGGUGACCGGCCAGCUUGGGGGGGAGUGACAGCCCGGACAGCUUCGGGCGGGAGGCAGGAGGGAUGAUGUAUCAGCGGGGGGAGACAGCUGGAGGGAGCCAGGGCGCGGGGAGGUGGAAGUCCGGUUGGAAAUGACUUUCGCCUGUGGCGGAAGAUGCAUGGAGGUUAUGGGUGAAAUAGGCACGGGUUAAUUCGUG
rnacentral:rRNA from 1 species